GGUAAAAUGACUGAGUAAGCGUUAGACUGUAAAUCAAAAGAUGGAGGUCAAGGCCUCUUUUUACCA
rfam:Gorilla gorilla gorilla genomic chromosome, chr2B, whole genome shotgun sequence